GACGAACGCUGGCGGCGUGCUUAACACAUGCAAGUCGAGCGGUAAGGCCCUUUCGGGGGUACACGAGCGCGAACGGGUGAGUAACACGUGGGUGACCUGCCCUCAGCUCUGGGAUAAGCCUGGGAAACCGGGUCUAAUACUGGAUAUGACUCCAUGACGCAUGUUGUGGGGUGGAAAGCCUUGUGCGGCUGAGGAUGGGCCCGCGGCCUAUCAGCUUGUUGGUGGGGG
rnacentral:rRNA from 1 species